UACGAAGGGGGCUAGCGUUGCUCGGAUUUACUGGGCGUAAAGGGCGCGCAGGCGGUUCUGUUUGUCGAGUGUGAAAGCCCCGGGCUCAACCUGGGAACUGCGCUCGAAACGGCGGAACUAGAGUUCGGGAGAGGAGAGUGGAAUUCCCAGUGUAGAGGUGAAAUUCGUAGAUAUUGGGAAGAACACCGGUGGCGAAGGCGGCUCUCUGGACCGAUACUGACGCUGAGGCGCGAAAGCUAGGGGAGCAAACAGG
rnacentral:rRNA from 1 species